rfam:Triticum aestivum genome assembly, contig: Triticum_aestivum_CS42_TGACv1_scaffold_423906_5BS
CAUAUACUCCCUCUGUCCUAAAAUUCUUGUCUUAAUUCGUCUAGAUACGGAUAUAUCUAAUACUAAAAUAUGACUCGGUUCAUCCGUAUUUCGACAAAUCUAAGACAAGAAUUAUGGGAUGGAGGGAGUACUUU